AAAGUAGUUAUUAUCUGUAGUAUAGGAGUUGGUAUCUCAGGGUAGUAUAAGGAGGAUGGGAGAGGGGAAGAAAAUGCCAUCGUUGUGAUAGUGUGAGCCGGGGUAAGCUUAGUGCUACCUCUUUUCUUUUGUUUGUUAUUUUCUUUGAAUAAGAGGAUUGAGAGUUUCUGAAUAUUAUGAACUGAAUUAUUGAAUGGAAAUGUGAUUGGUAUUAUUUGAGAAGAAGAAAGAUUGAAUGCUGAAAUAUGAUUGUAGUUUAGCAGAGAGAAUGAGUCUGUGUUUAUGUGAAACACUGUAAUAUGAAUGGUAGUUCGGUGUGAAGAAUUCCAAUGAUUGGAAUGAGGGUAAUUGUGUGCUGAAAGCUGUGAGGGCACAGUAUUACAGUUGGAGAUUAUGAGGGUGAAUAUAUUGGUGGAAAUAGCAGUUAUUGAUAUGACUGAAUUGCUGUAAGGAAAAGACCGAUAAGGUGAAGGAGGAGAUUAUAGUUUCCUUGUGUGUUCAGAUAUUGGAAAUAGAGACG
rnacentral:lncRNA from 1 species